rnacentral:lncRNA from 1 species
GAUCCUAUCAAUCCUUUUCCAAACCCUAGCUCUUCCCUGGUGGUUGUUACACCAAGUAAAUCUCAGGCCAACAAAAUCAAGAUCCAUAAGGCCAUUAGUCUGGAUAAAAUCUCUGAACUCCCUGAACCCCAUAUCAUCCACAUACGAUCUGCACUCCUUUUCUGAUGAGGCCUGACAAAACAGUCAAAAUCACCAUCUACCAUAGAUGAGGUUCUCUGAUCAAUCAAAGUUGACACUUUUUGCUACAAAAUAUGUUGCUUUAGAUAAUCAGUGCUCGCAUACACACCAAAUAAGAGCCAAGUAGGUCUAUUUACUUUAGUAAUAAUGAUAACAGCUUACUGAGUAUAUUGGUGUAACACAUUCACAAAAGAUGCACCAGCUUUCCAAGUGACAAUAAUACCCUCAGAUAGACCCUAGGACUCUAUAGUAUAAAACCCCCAGCUAGCAGGAAACUGCCACCAGAUGCGGACUAGACUAGGCCCAGACAACCUUGUCUCCAUAAGGACAAACAAUUUAGGAUCAUACUAUUGCAUAAUUCUCCUAAAAAUGGAAUGAAAGGCUAGUUUUCCCCACC